UGAAAACUUUUGAAGCAUAGAUAUGCCGUAUGAUGUGAUUAAAAUCAUACUUAUUUUACUGUGGUGGGGAUUAUUAUGAGCAAACAAAUUUAAUAGUUUAAUCUGAACACUAUAUGUAUGUAAUCUGACUUUUUUUUUUUUUUUUUUUUUAACAGAAAUUCUGAGCUGCUGCAUGAACAUUCAUCAAACAUAAGGCUGCAAUUUGGAAGAAAACCUUUCAAGCUAAUGCUGCUGAAAUGGAGGUCAAGGGACUAUGAAGAGGUGGCUCCAGCUGAUCAAACACACUCUGUUACAGUAAUCAGCUGAUCCAGUCGGUAUCCAGACCAGACGGUGGACCUGCACCCAGGAACGACCACACCACAUCCCUGACUGUCAGCGGAGAUCAUGUCAGCUAGAUCACAGAUCCCUGUGAAGACCUCAUUGAUGGCCCCAGCACAGAUCCUCAGCAAAGACUACGAGAACCAGACAAGCCCUCUGUGCAGACCCUUUUUACCAGCUUCACCUGCUGGCGUGAUAUUACUUCAAGCAGAAGAAGUUGGAUGAAAUAUUCUGAAUGAUAUCAAUCCACAAUCUGACUUGUGAUGCAGCCUGGAAUAAUCACACCACGUUGAUUCGUUUGGCCAGAGGAGACUGUUUUCUGACUGAGCCCGGUCUUGUUUGGGUUCCUUGUCACUGUUGCCUUUUGUCUUGCUUGGUUGAAGACACCUAAUAUUCAGCAAUAUUAUUGACUUGACUGCACUGACACCAUUUGAUAAGAACUGAACUGAAUUAUGACACACAAUGUUUUAUAUAUGAAGAGUUUAUUUGCAAAAACAGAUAACUCCUUUUUUUUAAAAAUAUUUUUAAAAAUCAUGUUUUUUGUUAUGUUUUCAUUGUGUUAGUUAGCUAGUAUUUAUUAGUUAUUAUUUACCUAAUCAAAAUAACCUUGAAUGCAGUUUGAUUGAGAUUAAUUGGAAUGCACAAUGAAAAAACAUGAUUUAAAAAAAUUGUUAAAGAUUAAGUUAUCUGUUUCUGCAAAUGAACUCUUCAUUCAUUCAUAUAUAUAUAUAUCUCAGUAAAUAUAAUUUACUUGUUA